rnacentral:rRNA from 1 species
GUCGAGCGGUAACAUUUCAAAGCUUGCUUUGAAGAUGACGAGCGGCGGACGGGUGAGUAAUGCUUGGGAAUAUGCCUUAUGGUGGGGGACAACAGUUGGAAACGACUGCUAAUACCGCAUAAUGUCUACGGACCAAAGGGGGGGAUCUUCGGACCUCUCGCCAUUUGAUUAGCCCAAGUGAGAUUAGCUAGUUGGUGAGGUAAUGGCUCACCAAGGCGACGAUCUCUAGCUGGUUUGAGAGGAUGAUCAGCCACACUGGGACUGAGACACGGCCCAGACUCCUACGGGAGGCAGCAGUGGGGAAUAUUGCACAAUGGGCGCAAGCCUGAUGCAGCCAUGCCGCGUGUGUGAAGAAGGCCUUCGGGUUGUAAAGCACUUUCAGUAAGGAGGAAAGGGAUGUAGUUAAUAGCUGCAUUCUGUGACGUUACUUACAGAAGAAGCACCGGCUAACUUCGUGCCAGCAGCCGCGGUAAUACGAGGGGUGCAAGCGUUAAUCGGAAUUACUGGGCGUAAAGCGUUCGUAGGCGGUUGAUUAAGCAAGAUGUGAAAGCCCAGGGCUCAACCUUGGAACUGCAUUUUGAACUGGUCAACUAGAGUACUGUAGAGGGUGGUGGAAUUUCC